rnacentral:lncRNA from 1 species
UGAAUCCGAGCGUUCUCUGGUCUGGACAGAGUGCCAGGCCUGUGGCAAAGCAGGUAACCUUUGAAACGGAAUCUGAUCUGCUGUCGGCCACUGCCCAGGCCACAGUCUGCCAAAGGGACAGCUGAACGAAAGGCUCAACUUCCUCCUUCAUCAGCUCCAAGUUCCAGGACAAGAGGCAGAACCAGGUGCCACCGAGCCUGCCACAGGCCACUUCCAGCAUCGAUGGUGUCAGGUCAGGUCCUCUGGGUAGAAGAAAUGGAGUCAGUUAGGAGUGCUGGAGACUGAGUAAGAGGUGGCAGCUGAGGCUUACUACCCCAGGAAAGGGAUGCCACCAGAGAAGGCAGACAACCAAGAUGGCGACUCUCAAUUUUUGAGCUCCUAAUUUUCUCAUGUCAGACAUAAGAAAAAAAAAUAUUUUUUAAAGAAAAAGCUUUAGGUUGCAAAAAUCUAGGCCUUUCAACUUUAAAAUCCUAUUCUUGCAAGCCUUGGAGAAUAAAGCUUAUGCAUAAACAGUAGAUUUGGAAACAGAAAUAUGCCUAAUUACCCAGAGCCAUUCUUUCAAUACGCCAGUGAUUGUUUAAAGAUUCUAUAGGCUGGAGUCAAUGGCAGGAGGCGGGUGGGAAAAGAGUCAAGAGGGAGGAGAGAAGAAGCAAGAGGGUUGGGUAGAUAUUGUCACAUGACCCUGAGAGGAGGAUUCUGGGUCAAACCCCUAGGGGGUUGUGUGUAAUGGAGACUCCAGAUCCAUUUGGGAAUCUGGCUCCAAAGAAGACUUCACCUUGCCUUCUGAGUGGAGCCCUGAAGUGGCAAGACUCAUAGAAUUCCCCCACGGGUCCACACAAGAGAGAAUGAAUAGAGAAGGCUGCGUGCUGGCUGGACCAAGGCAGCCUCGGGUGACACCACCACCACCACCGCCGCUGCCGCCAUCGCCAUCACCACUGCCGCUGCCAUCACCGCCACCACCACCACCAUCACCACCACCAUCACCACAUUAUGGACAAUAGCCCAAUGUUUCCUGAGUUCCCUAGAGGGUUGAAAGAGAAUAGGACCUAGAGAGAUCACAUAGUUGGGACAGGCACUCAUUAAUUUGAUCCAAUGACAAGAGACCAGAUGGGAAGAAGGAUGCCUUGAGAGAUGUCAGUGUGCACCCAUGGAUAGAAGCAGCUGGUGACUGGGUACUUGGGAAGCCACAUGGACACACACAAAGCUCCUGGAAGACGUUUUCAAGGAGUUGGGCUGUGCUGGGAUCCAGAACUGGCUGAAGAAACCAUGAGCUGACAUAAAAUUUCUGCCACCUAGCAGAAUGGAGGCUCCAUUUGGAAAUUAAAUUAUAUACUUAAAAAAACUAUAAUUGCUUCAUUUCUUUUUUUUGAGAUGGAGUUUCACUCUUGUUGCCCAGGCUGUAGUGCAAUGGCACCAUCUCAGCUCACUGCAAACUCCGCUCCCGGGUUCAAGAGGUGAUCCUGCCUCAGCCUCCCGAGUAGCUAGGAUUACAGGUGUGCGGCCACCAUGCCCCGCUAAUUUUGUAUUUUCAGUAGAGACGGGGUUUUACCAUGUUGGUCAAGCUGGUCUCAAACUCCUG